rnacentral:rRNA from 1 species
ACGAACGCUGGCGGCGUGCCUAAUACAUGCAAGUAGAACGCACAGUUUAUACCGUAGCUUGCUACACCAUAGACUGUGAGUUGCGAACGGGUGAGUAACGCGUAGGUAACCUGCCUGGUAGCGGGGGAUAACUAUUGGAAACGAUAGCUAAUACCGCAUAAUAUUAAUUAUUGCAUGAUAAUUAAUUGAAAGGUGCAAUUGCACCACUACCAGAUGGACCUGCGUUGUAUUAGCUAGUAGGUGAGGUAACGGCUCACCUAGGCGACGAUACAUAGCCGACCUGAGAGGGUGAUCGGCCACACUGGGACUGAGACACGGCCCAGACUCCUACGGGAGGCAGCAGUAGGGAAUCUUCGGCAAUGGACGAAAGUCUGACCGAGCAACGCCGCGUGAGUGAAGAAGGUUUUCGGAUCGUAAAGCUCUGUUGUAAGAGAAGAACGGGUGUGAGAGUGGAAAGUUCACACUGUGACGGUAUCUUACCAGAAAGGGACGGCUAACUACGU